AUCAUUUGUAUGCAUGCUGGGUCUAUUAUCACAUUACUCACAAUAGUCAAGAACUGAGAACCACUUUACUAUCCAGCAAUGGAUAAAGUAGAUGAGGUACACACAGACACACACACACACACACACACACACACACACAAAUACCAUUUACUUAUUAGAAGAACAAAAACUUGGGAGUCGGGCUGUAGCGCAGCGGGUUAAGCGCAGGUGGCGCAAAGCACAAGGACCGGCUUAAGAAUCCCGGUUCGAACCCCGGCUCCCCACCUGCAGGGGAGUCGCUUCACAGGCGGUGAAGCAGGUCUGCAGGUGUCUAUCUUUCUCUCUUCCUCUCUGUCUUCCCCUCCUCUCUCCAUUUCUCUCUGUCCUAUCCAACAACGACAACAACAAUAAUAACUACAACAAUAAAACAACAAGGGCAACAAAAGGGAAUAAAUAAAUAAAAUAAAUAUUAAAAAAA